GACGUAGGGCGCGAGCGUUGUCCGGAUUUAUUGGGCGUAAAGAGCUCGUAGGCGGCUUGUCGCGUCGUCCGUGAAAACCCACAGCUCAACUGUGGGCUUGCGGUCGAUACGGGCAGGCUAGAGUUCGGUAGGGGAGACUGGAAUUCCUGGUGUAGCGGUGAAAUGCGCAGAUAUCAGGAGGAACACCGGUGGCGAAGGCGGGUCACUGGCCCGAUACUGACGCUGAUGCGCGAAAGCCAGGGGAGCGAACGGG
rnacentral:rRNA from 1 species